GCGUGAGCCCAAGAUAAGAGGGCUCGACUCUCGGGUCCUGGUCUGGCCCCUUUUUAUAUUAAGUUACUAAUGACCUUUGCUUUGUCUGAAUGGCCCACACACGCCCAUCUUAUCUUCUGGAGUCAGACUCUCUCCCUGGAGUUUAAUCCAAGGAAGGGGGAAAGGUUGAGCAGGCAAAGCCAUGGAACCAAGCCGCGAUCAUAUUAAACAGAAGAUAGAAAAGAUGAGGACAAUAAACUAUAAGCAAGAAAAACGCAUAAAUUACUUUGAAAAAAGUGCUUACCGCAUUACAAGUUUCUACUUCAUCUUUCAAGGAAUGAUCUUCAUUUCCAUCUCCAAACGUUCAUCAUCCCUCCCUUGUUACCACUGGUGGAUCCCUUUCACUCUGUCCCUCCUCUCCUCUACCAUCUAUGGUCUCACAUUCUUCUCCACCCUCACCAAUUGCAUCCAAACCUUAUAUCACCUCGACUUGAACAGGCUGGAACUUGAGUUGAUGAUACAACAACUGCACAUGGGGGAGCAGCAAGGUAAUCAGAUGACCCAAGAUCAGUUGAAGCCUGAUAAAGUUCAGUGGUUGCGACGCUAUGCGCUUGUUUACCUAGUAGUUCUAGUCAUGCUUGCCUUUGCAGGCAUAAUGCUAUAUGCAUGUCACUCCUUUCUCUGCAACAAGUAAUGGCAAUUCCCAGCAGUAAUAUUCAGCUUUGAUGAAUAAAGAAGAAUCCCGUUUGUUGUUUGGUUGUUUUAAGUAUAGAGUUUGUGUAAAUCAUCUGCACCUGGGCUCUGAUACAUUGCCUUAUUGUUAAUAUUGGUAGAUCCUUGUGAGUUAUACUAGUGAAUGUGAGCAUGUACUAUGAAUAAAGUUAGUCUCAUGUUGUGAUUUUGUGGUUUCC